rnacentral:rRNA from 1 species
AGAGUUUGAUCAUGGCUCAGAUUGAACGCUGGCGGAAUGCUUUACACAUGCAAGUCGAACGGCAGCAUAGGUGCUUGCACCUGAUGGCGAGUGGCGAACGGGUGAGUAAUACAUCGGAACGUGCCCAGUCGUGGGGGAUAACGUAGCGAAAGUUACGCUAAUACCGCAUACGAUCUACGGAUGAAAGCGGGGGAUCGCAAGACCUCGCGCGAUUGGAGCGGCCGAUAUCAGAUUAGGUAGUUGGUGGGGUAAAGGCUCACCAAGCCGACGAUCUGUAGCUGGUCUGAGAGGACGACCAGCCACACUGGGACUGAGACACGGCCCAGACUCCUACGGGAGGCAGCAGUGGGGAAUUUUGGACAAUGGGCGCAAGCCUGAUCCAGCCAUGCCGCGUGCAGGAUGAAGGCCUUCGGGUUGUAAACUGCUUUUGUACGGAACGAAAAGGUUUGGCUUAAUACGCUGAACUCAUGACGGUACCGUAAGAAUAAGCACCGGCUAACUACGUGCCAGCAGCCGCGGUAAU